AAGUGACCAUCCGCUUGUGUCAUCUUCAGUUCGGCAGCAGUGCGCAACGACUUCACAUCGUCUUAUACAGUACGUUCUUUACGCAGGGCCAGGAUGAUUCAUACGUAGUACUAUAUUUCUAUACAGCAUGCGAUGGGACAAAACUAUUUUGCAAAACUAUGCCCAAUAAUAAUAAGUAGUUUGGUGUGUUACUCUGUGUCCAUGAGCACUGAAAUACUUUCAAGGCAAGGGCUACCGCAAACGAAGAGCAUAUGUUACCUGAAGAUGCGUCAGUCGAAACUAACAGCGUGGCCAGUGGAACCGGUUGCUGUGUAAUGAAUGUGUAGCUGCUUUUUGAACGGUGGUUGGAAUAAAGUUUGAUUUCAUUUGA